GACGAACGCUGGCGGCGUGCCUAAUACAUGCAAGUCGAACGCAGUGGGGACGGGUGAGUAACACGUGGGUAACCUCCCAUCAGAGGGGAUAACACUUGGAAACAGGUGCUAAACCGAUACUGAUGGAUGAACCCGCGGUGCAUUAGCUAGUUGGUGAGGUAACGGCUCACCAAGGCCACGAUGCAUAGCCGGCCUGAGAGGAUGAUCAGCCACAAUGGGACUGAGGCACGGCCCAGACGCCUACGGGAGGCAGCAGUAGGGAAUCUUCGGCAAUGGGCGAAAGUCUGACCGAGCAACGCCGCGUGAGUGAAGAAGGUUUUCGGAUCGUAAAGCUCUGUUGUUAGAGAAGCGGUAUCUGACCAAAAAGCCACGGCUAACUACGUGCCAGCAGCCGCGGUAAUUC
rnacentral:rRNA from 1 species